rnacentral:SRP_RNA from 1 species
CGACGGGGCCUCUGCAACAAGUUUCACGCGAACCCCGCCAGAUCCGGAAGGAAGCAACGGUAGUGAGAAAUUUUGUGUGCCGGAGUCACCCUGUCGGGU